rnacentral:lncRNA from 1 species
UGUACACAACGGCAAUGUUGCAUUAUGUGAAUGAAUUGAAAUGUACAGGAUGAAGCCUUAUAUAUGGAAAUCUCGAGGAACUAGCUGAGCAUAACAAACUCCUAACAGAAAACAGCUAGCUAUUUACAAAUGAAAUUCAAAUUACAGGGAAAUGAAAUCGCAUCUAUUGUUUCACUAGAGCCUCCGAUGUUUGAUCAUUACAUCUAGAAAGAAAAGAAAAGAGGAAAAAAAAAAAAA